CUUGCCUCCAGGGGCAUUGCGGGUAUGGGUGCUGUAUCCUAUUGUGUCAGUAGGUGGCAGAGAGGAGAGAGGUUAUGUCUAUGCUCAGUGUUCUGACCUGUGGGCACCUGAAUGAUUAGUAGCCUAACAUU